rnacentral:rRNA from 1 species
UACGGAGGGGGCGAGCGUUAUUCGGAAUUAUUGGGCGUAAAGGGCGCGUAGGCGGCCCGGUAAGUCAAAGGUGAAAUCCCUCGGCUCAACUGAGGAACUGCCUUUGAAACUGUCUGGCUUGAGGCCGGGAGAGGGUAGCGGAAUUCCCAGUGUAGCGGUGAAAUGCGUGGAUAUUGGGAGGAACACCAGUGGCGAAGGCGGCUACCUGGACCGGUUCUGACGCUGAGGCGCGAAAGCGUGGGUAGCAAACAGG